rnacentral:ncRNA from 17 species
AAUGGCGCCACUAGGGUUGUG